rnacentral:lncRNA from 1 species
CUCAUCAAUGAAUCUCAAUUCAAUCUCUAGGCAUACAUGUUGUAAGCCACAUCACAAGAAAUAAUAACAUAAAUGCAUAAGAAUAAUCAUAUGGGCCCAUAACGAUAUUAGCCAACAUAGGCCAAUUUACAUAACUAAUACUACCUUAAUAACAAGCCAAUGCCUUUGGCUAAAUCAUAAUAUUACAUACUCACAUUAAAACCCUAUACAUGCCAUAGACUCAAAUCACUUGAGUUUACUUACUCCGAUAACGUUAACUCGAUAGGGUGAUUAUAUCUCUGACGGCCUCCAACCCGAGCUAACCUGGAAACUCUAAAAAACAUGGGAAAGAAGGGGGGUAAGCUUUCGCUAAGUAAGUUCAUAUGAAAACAAUAAGCAACUCAUUAACUUGUUUUAUCAAUGUUUACAACAUAUUCUCAAGUUCACUACAAGCUGUCUUCCGGAGCAACAGUUACUAUAUUAUUUAUAUCUGGAGCUACGAAACUACGAAUUAAGUUCGGUUAAUUUUUCCUGAAACUAGACUUAUUUUCCUUUCUUCCAUAAAAUUUCCAGAAUUUUUGGUUAAGCCAAAUAGUACAGUUUAUUAGUUAAACUCUCCCCUAUUUCAGGGUAUGACCACUCUGACCCCUGUACACUACAAACCAAAUUUAUCCCUGUAAAAAAUUCCAACGACCAUGUCGUUUAUUUCCCAUAAAAAUAGACUCAAUAAGGAAUCUAUGCAUGUAAGGUAUAACUCUUAAUAAUUUUUGUACAAUUUUUGGUGAAUUUCUAAAGUUAGAACAGGGGAUCUCUAAUUCAUUCAGACCCUGUUUCACAAGAAUUCAAAUAUCACACAAUAUGGAAUUCUUUUUCUUCCCUUGUUUCUUUCAUGUGAAAAUAGACUCAUUGAGCUUUAAUCCCAUAUUUUAUUCUGCCUCUAACUCAUUUUCCACUAUUUUUAGUGUAUUUUCAAAGUUACACUACUGCAGUAACUCAAAUCUGUCAAGGCUAAAUUACUCAUUCAUGAUCAUUGUUCACAAAAUUAAUACAACAUCGUUUGUAUAAUCAUCACCGAGACAUUCAUAUCAGAUUUUCAUUUACCAUCUUACCAUAUUGUUGUUAUGUCGAGUUUUCAACCCGAGGGUUAAGUACAUACCUGUUCAAAGUAUCCAUUUCACAAUAUUUACCAAUACGUCCUUUCAUCUCGAGUAUUCCUCCAUUUGAGUAGAAUUUUACCCGUUGAACACAUCGGAAUAUAAUUCGGAUACAUGGAAAGUUUGCACAUAAGUGCCACAUAUGUAGCCAAGCUACCAUGUAACCCGCCCAUAAGUGAACUCGGACUCAACUCAACGAGCUCAGGCGUUCGCAUCCAUAAGUGAACUCGGACUCAACUCAAUGAGCUCGGAUGCCUAGUUACAUCUCACGAACUCAGACUCAACUCAACGAGUUCGAACAUUCGCAUCCAUAAGUGAACUCGGACUCAACUCAACGAGUUCGGAUGCUCAACCAUCCUAGUGACAUGUCACUUGUAUCCUAAUCUAUUCCUAAGGUUCAAACGGGAUUUUCCUCGAACAUAUAUCCUUGCCAUCUUCCGUAAAAUACCGAAACCAAUACUCGGUAGCACUUUAUAUUUAACAGAUAAUACACAUAACUUGCAUUUUAUUCGAAAAUAACCACAAAGCAUAUAUUUCAUGAUAAAAAUCAGCAUAUCAUAUAUUUAACAUCAAUAACUUAAAAAUAACAAUUAUGCUACAUUAUUUACACAUAAACUUACCUCGAUACCACAAAGGUGAAAAGACAUACUCGUCCAUAAAUCGAUUUCUUUCCGUUCUAGGUCCAAAUCUCAAUUUUCAUCAUCUAUAACAUCACAUUUAGCCUACCAAUCAGUCACAAUAUUCAUAUGGAUCAAAAAAUCAUAUUUUUACAAAUUUUCAUUUUGACCCCUAAACUUUUGCAUAUUUGCACUUUUGCCUCAAUGCUCGUAAAUUAAUUUUUAUCACAUUUCUUUACUCCUUGAGUCUAUAUGAACCAUUUUCAUAACUAUAGCAACUCAUAAUUUCAACUAUUUUACACAUUUACAACUCAUUUUACAACUUAGCAAUUUACCCCUUUUUUAAGGUAUUUUCAUGCAAUUUCUUUCACAAAAGUUGUUUAUUAGACAACUAGGACUCAUAAUCUUCCAUAAAAACACAGCAAACAACACAUUUACUCUCAUGGUAAAACCCUAGACUCUUCAUCAUUUUGCAAAAUAAUCCCCUCUUAUGAAAGCUUAUGCUUUAGGGGUUCCAAAAAUACAAAAAUCAUCAAGCAAAGACAUUAAAAUCACUUACAAGCAAGGGAAAUAUGUUGCUGAAAUUUUCCAAUUUCAAAACCCUUUCUUUGCUGCAUAUUUCGGUGAAGGGGAAGAGAAAAAUGAUAGCUUUUUCUUUUUUUUUUUUUUGUUAAUAAUAAAACUAUUUUGUCUAAUUUUGACUUUUCAACUAUUUUGUCUCCCAUGGCCGGCCAUCACACUUUCAAUGGCCAAAUUUCACUUUAAAGACCCCAAAUUUAAGAUACAAGGCAAUUUAACACCUUUAGGUAUUAAAACACAACUUUUACUUUUUACGCGAUUUAGUCCUUUUUCGAAAUUGGACUAGAAAUCGCUAAAAUUACUAUACCAAAAUUAACAUGCACUUAUAAAAUCAUAUUAUAACACAUAAAAUAAUACUAAAAUAAUUUUCUCUGGCCUCGGAAUAGUGGUCCCGAAACCAUUGU